GCCUGAUGAACAACUGGGCCUCGUAAAAAACCACCACCAACAAAAACCUCAUGGGAGGAGCUACAGGAAACAGAUAGUGGGGUUGGGGCACAGAAAUGUGACUUGCCUUGGUCACAGGAGCAGAGUGGGAAUAAAAGCCAGGGUUCCUGAUACCCAGUCCCCUGAUCUUACCAGUCGACAGCACUCAGUCAGUCUAGGAAAGUCCUGGGUGGUGCACCAGCAGCUGGAGUAAAGCAAGAAUCACAAUCAAUGUUGAUACCCCAUGACACCUAAAACAGCAUCAGCAACAAAAGGAAACAAGCUGGAGAGGAGCUGGUUGACCUGAAUGUGACUUAAUUUAAUUGCUGAUUUAAUCUGGCCAAAAUGGUAGUGAUUUCACUGUUUCCGUCCUGGCAUGUUGUGUUGGAAGACGUGUUGUGUUCGGCACAAUCUAUACAAGGGCUUAAGGACCGAUCGAUCAAAGUGAUCAUGGUGAUGUCCUGGAGCCUAGAGCA